rnacentral:lncRNA from 1 species
AUAUUCUCACUUGUUGUUUCAUGGAGUAUUUGAUAAGCUUUUUAACUUCUCAUAUGUUUUCUCGUUAAUCUGAUCUACUAUGGCUUCUACCAUGUUUUGAGGUUCUAGAAUCCAUUACCGCAUAGUUUACCUUAUUUGAUUUCUUGAAUCGAUUUGAUCCCAAGAUCAUUCAUGUACAUGUAGGCUUUUUGUUGGGGUUCCUUUUCAAGAAAAUCUAGUGUAAAUUUCGGAGCUUAGAUUGUUGUGAGAUGGUAUUCAUAUCUAUAUCAUUAUCCCUAUCUCAUUCGCUUCUUUCAUGUCUAAAGGUGGAUCAAAUUCGGACUCCACCCAGGUCACACAGAAGAUACAAUAAUACCCCGGCCUACUCCCGACAGAGAGCUUUGAUGUUAGUUGGUUGUGCUCAUACAAUGAAACUUGGGGGGUGUCAGUAGAGUGUGGUUGUUAAAGGAAUUGUAUGUAUUUUGAAAUCAGGUGUUAGUGAAUUGUGUAUUUGAAACUAUACAUUAUAAUCAAGUGUUAUUGGAUUGUGUAUUUGUUGGAUGUAAAUUCUCAUCGUUGUCUCUGUUUUGAAAUGUUCACUUUUGGGUUUUGUGAAAUGUAUGAGAAGAAAUAUCAGAGGCUAGGAGGAGAUGAAGUUAAGAAUUGG